GGGGAGGAGCCCCAUUCGAACACGUCUGCGUGAGCGCGCGAUGUUUGAAGAGACCUGAGAGAGACCGGUUGAUGGUGCACGCGAUGGAUUUGGAAAACAUCAUGAAACGGUGUUCAUGGGGUUCUACAGGAUUGUGGGCAAGAAUCUCAAGCAAUCAUCUAAUUGAGAUAUUUCAGUCUAAAGAGGGAAUGUUGGGCAGCUGUUGACAGCUUUCACAACAAAUCAAGACUAAAGAGCCAGCUGAUACUAGGUUUCUCCCUUUUGCCCUUUGCGACAACCCUACAGAUGUCUAUGCUUUGUAAGUAACCACUGUUUUCUCUCAGAAUAUCUAACAGGACAUAAAACACAAUAAUUUCACCAUUAAUUGAUAGUUCCUGUGUUUUAUGAAACCUCUGAGAAUAAAACAUAAACUAUUAACUUAAUACAAUAGCCCUUUUAACCUCUUUGGGUGAUCUGUUUGUUUAAAGGGUUAGUUCAUCCAAUAUUUGCUCAACCUCAAGUUGUUACAAACCCUUUAGAAUUCAUUUUAGAAAUACCAAUUUUAAGGAUAAUUGUAAUUAAAGUAAUAUUUAAACUUUAAACAAGAUUUUUAGCUGAAACUGUGGUCCUUGGUAAUUGAUAUAAAGCAAUCAAUGGAAAUCGUCAUUUCUGAUAGUUAAAAAACAUACAAGUUUUUUUCUUUUCUUUUCUUUUUACUCCAAGUGAUGGUAGCCAUUGACUUUCAUUAAAUGAAUUACCAAGAAUCAGAGUUACAGCUAAAAAUCUUUAAUGUUCUACUGAAGAAAAACUGGAUGGCCUGAGGGUGUGUAAAUUAACAGCAGAUUUGAAUUUUUCCGUGAACUUUUUUUUUUUUUUAGUCUAUGUUACCAAAAUUUAAAUAAUCAUUUUGAGGAGAGAGAAUGAAAAUUUUUUUGGUGGACUAUUCAUUUAAUUAACUCCAGCAGUUGUAACAAGUUGCUUUAACGUUAUUUAUGGUUAUAUAAUGAGAAAUAUCAUGAUUGUGCUCUUUCGUUGUUAGGACUCUGAUGACGAUUACUCAUUCCACCACCUGGACAUUGGAAUCAUCCUCAUUGAGCAUGAAGGUGAUGUGCUCUCAUCCUCUCUCCGUCUCAAUCCAGCCUCAUUGAAGAUCAUCAUUGAAGGAGAUUUUGUGAUGGACAGUAUUGAAGACUUGUCAAAAGCUGUUCAUUCUGUAUGGACUUGCGUACUGCAUCUCAACUACCCUAAAUCUGUGAAGAACACAUUCCAGAUCAUCCAACAGGUACUUCUCAUGUUGGGCCACAGUGAACUAAAACCCAGGUUGCAAACUCUGAAAAAUUGUCCUACAAUGUUAGGAAAUGCAAGAAGCUUCCAUGAGAAGUCACUUGUGUUCUGCCGUACGAGACAUUAAAGUGUAUUCUGUUUCUGCAUAUUAGUGCUGUUAGAGCUCCGUUAAUGUGUGUUCACACGAUACUUCAGCCAAGUUUAAAGUUACAGAGACUUGCCUCAGUUUUAAAUUAAGCCCAGUUGUUAAUGCACAUCCAGGCAUUCACAAGGGAUAUAGCAUAUAUUCUUGAAUACUGUGUUCAUGUUUCUUCUACAAAAUAGUUACAAUUGUUAACAAGCUGUUCCAAAGCUUAUUUUUACUUGUCUUGUGGCUGACAAGUUUUAUGUAUUGUUGUAUGUACCAUUUCUUUGGUGAACAAUAAAAAAAAAAAAAAAAAAAAACAUUGGUGCAUUGAAAUCUGUUUUUCUUUUUUUCCAAUUUAUAUGAAACUAAAUGUUUAAUACAAUAAAUCUCAAAAUCUAUGUCUAAUUACAUGACAUUACAUAAAUGUGUCAUUACUUAAAAACAUUUGUUAAUGUUAUUUGCUAAUAUAUGUUUUUGUAGUUGUAACUUGAAAUAGCUAUUUUAUACAACCUAUACUCCAAAUAAUAAUAAUUGAUGUGAACUAAUGAUUUUGAGUAAAGACUACUAAUGUAAACCUGAUUUGUCUACUGCAUGAACUUAAGGUUCUAUGUUAAUACAACUGAACCGGUUUAGUUUCACCCUGUGUAAAAACUAAAAUGGUUUCGUGCAACGGGUUUCCUCGCGAAUUUCUAGUAAAGUCAACUAAUCCGGGUUAAGAGUGUAGGCAACAAUGAGAUUUUUUUCCUGCAUGAGAAAAGGAGCCAAUUUAACUCCCAGAGAUCUCAGCCAUGUUUUCUCAACAACGUGAGAUUUGCCAAGACUCCAAAUGUGCAAUCAAAAGUCAAGAGAUCUUGAUAUGAACUCAUCAAAUUCUUCAAAGACCAAAUGUUUAAUGUGAAGCUUUCCACAAAUAAUUGGCUGUCGAAAGAAUUUUCUUUCAAUAACAGA